rfam:Arabidopsis thaliana chromosome 4, complete sequence.
AGAUCUGUAAGCUCAAAAUGGUAGAGCUCUCAUUAUGAGAGGUUGGUGGUUCGAAUCCAUCCAGAUCUG